rnacentral:rRNA from 1 species
AGUGAACGCUGGCGGUAGGCCUAACACAUGCAAGUCGAACGGCAGCACAGGAGAGCUUGCUCUCUGGGUGGCGAGUGGCGGACGGGUGAGGAAUACAUCGGAAUCUACUCUGUCGUGGGGGAUAACGCAGGGAAACUUACGCUAAUACCGCAUACGACCUACGGGUGAAAGCAGGGGAUCUUCGGACCUUGCGCGAUUGAAUGAGCCGAUGUCGGAUUAGCUAGUUGGCGGGGUAAAGGCCCACCAAGGCGACGAUCCGUAGCUGGUCUGAGAGGAUGAUCAGCCAAACUGGAACUGAGACACGGUCCAGACUCCGACGGGAGGCAGCAGUGGGGAAUAUUGGACAAUGGGCGCAAGCCUGAUCCAGCCAUACCGCGUGGGUGAAGAAGGCCUUCGGGUUGUAAAGCCCUUUUGUUGGGAAAGAAAUCCAGCUGGCUAAUACCCGGUUGGGAUGACGGUACCCAAAGAAUAAGCACCGGCUAACUUCGUGCCAGCCGCCGCCGUAA